rnacentral:lncRNA from 1 species
AUGGAAAUACAUCUUAGAAGAGAAAAUUUCAUCACAGUUAUCUGAAAAUAAUAUUCCUUUGCCAUCAAUGCUAAGCGGCUGCAGUUUUUAGAAAAUAGACUAAGGGAGGAUAACAUUUUUAUCCUGGCUUAUGAUGAAAAUUAAAAUUUAUUUUGAUAUUUAUCAUUAGCCAGGGAGAAAAGGUGUGGGAAAUUUAGUAGGGCGUUUUCUACUUAUAUCCUGGAUAAAGGAAACUAUACAGUUAAUAUGGAACGCAGAAUCAUUUGUUCACUCCAAUUGUUCAAGCCAUUCUCCUAGCUUAGCUGCCCCAGUAGCUGGGAUUACAGGCGCGCACCACCAUGCCUAGCUAAUUUUUGUAUUUUUAGUAGAGAUGGCGUUUCACCAUGUUGGCCAGAAAAAUUCUUAUAUGUUAAGUAUCAAAGACUUAAUGAAGCAGCUUGGUAUAACUGUUAGCUUUGUCCUUGCAACUAAAAAAACAAUCCCCAGCAUUCAUCUGCGUAUCUUGCUUUCAACAUCCAUUGCUCCUAUUUAAUUCACUUCUAUAAUAAUUGCAUCUCAUGUAAAGAGAGUUGUUUCUAUGUUCAAAUCAUGUUAUAUGGCCAUGAAAAAUCCAGAGCUUUGGUUUAAAACAUGUUCCAUUAACCCUGCUGAGUCUGUAUUUUCUGCUUUGUCAGGUUCUGCCAUACCUUCACAUGAUCAUUUCUGUUAAAAGAAAUUAUGAUCUUUAACUUUUGUGUGUAUCUGGAUUCCCCUUUCAUUUGAAUCAUGUCGUGAUUCAAAAAUCUUCUCUUUUUUUUUUUAAGCUUCCUUUGCUUUAACAAGGUUUCAACAACUGGAUGGUAAUUCCUACUGUGGUCUCAUUAGUAUCUGUUUCAGAACAGGAAUAAUUUUCUCUAAUUUUUAAUCUCUAUGUGUAGUUUUGCAUUCUGGUAUAUUUUAUUGCAUUCUUUUAUUGCAAUUAGACAUCGGGCUAAAGGCUAGACAUUUUCGCCUCCAUAAUUUUUGGGUCCUUGCAUCUUUGUCAAGUUAUCAUUGAGAAUGCAGUCACAGGAAGACACUUUUGUCCUUAUCUUUCCAUCUUGAAAUUCUAUUUAUAAGUCACUUGUCUCUCCAUGCAGUUCUGCUGACCAAGAUAUAUUUGAUUUAAUUGCCCUUCUUACAUUGAAAUUAGCUGCAGCUCUCCCACAUUCUCACUCACCUUUCAACUCCUCAAGGCUCUAUUCUUGUAGUACGAUUAUGUAGUUGUUCAAAUGA